rnacentral:rRNA from 1 species
GUGGGGAAUAUUGGACAAUGGGCGAAAGCCUGAUCCAGCCAUGCCGCGUGUGUGAAGAAGGUCUUCGGAUUGUAAAGCACUUUUAGUUGGGAGGAAGGGCAGUAAGUUAAUACCUUGCUGUUUUGACGUUACCGAAAGAAUAAGCACCGGCUAACUUCGUGCCAGCAGCCGCGGUAAUACGAAGGGUGCAAGCGUUAAUCGGAAUUACUGGGCGUAAAGCGCGCGUAGGUGGUUUUGUAAGUUGGAGGUGAAAUCCCCGGGCUCAACCUGGGAACUGCCUCCAAAACUGCAUGACUAGAGUACGGUAGAGGGUAGUGGAAUUUCCUGUGUAGCGGUGAAAUGCGUAGAUAUAGGAAGGAACACCAGUGGCGAAGGCGACUACCUGGACUGAUACUGACACUGAGGUGCGAAAGCGUGGGGAGCAAACAGGAUUAGAUACCCCGGUAGUCC